AGCGAACGCUGGCGGCAGGCUUAACACAUGCAAGUCGAGCGGGCGUAGCAAUACGUCAGCGGCAGACGGGUGAGUAACGCGUGGGAACAUACCUCUUGGUUCGGAACAACACAGGGAAACUUGUGCUAAUACCGGAUAAGCCCUUACGGGGAAAGAUUUAUCGCCGAGAGAUUGGCCCGCGUCUGAUUAGCUAGUUGGUGAGGUAAUGGCUCACCAAGGCGACGAUCAGAGCUGGUCUGAGAGGAUGAUCAGCCACAUUGGGACUGAGACACGGCCCAAACUCCUACGGGAGGCAGCAGUGGGAAUAUUGGACAAUGGCGCAAGCCUGAUCCAGCCAUGCCGCGUGAGUGAUGAAGGCCCUAGGGUUGUAAAGCUCUUUGUGCGGGAAGAUAAUGACGGUACCGCAAGAAUAA
rnacentral:rRNA from 1 species